rnacentral:rRNA from 1 species
UACGUAGGGUGCAAGCGUUGUCCGGAAUUAUUGGGCGUAAAGAGCUCGUAGGCGGUCUGUCGCGUCGGACGUGAAAAUCCAGGGCUCAACCCUGGACCUGCGUUCGAUACGGGCAGACUAGAGUUCGGUAGGGGAGACUGGAAUUCCUGGUGUAGCGGUGAAAUGCGCAGAUAUCAGGAGGAACACCGGUGGCGAAGGCGAUCAUCUGGGGCUGUUCUGACGCUGAGGAGCGAAAGCUAGGGGAGCAAACGGG